rnacentral:rRNA from 1 species
GGGUAACAGGGAGCUUGCUCCGCUGACGACCGGCGCACGGGUGCGCACCGCGUAUGGAACCUGCCUUUUACAGGGGAAUAGCCCAGGGAAACUUGGAUUAAUGCCCCGUGGCACCACGGCCCGGCAUCGGGAUGUGGUUAAAGCCUUCGGGCGGUAGAAGAUGGCCAUGCGUCCCAUUAGCUGGAUGGUAAGGUAACGGCUUACCAUGGCUACGAUGGGUAGGGGCCCUGAGAGGGGGAUCCCCCACACUGGUACUGAGACACGGACCAGACUCCUACGGGAGGCAGCAGUGAGGAAUAUUGGACAAUGGGCGAGGGCCUGAUCCAGCCAUGCCGCGUGCAGGAAGAAUGCCCUAUGGGUAGUAAACUGCUUUUAUACGGGAAGAAAAAGGGGCACGUGUGCCCCACUGACGGUACCGUAAGAAUAAGGACCGGCUAACUCCGUGCCAGCAGCCGCGGUAAUACGGAGGGUCCGAGCGUUAUCCGGAAUUAUUGGGUUUAAAGGGUCCGUAGGCGGGCCGGUAAGUCAGGGGUGAAAGUCUGUAGCUCAACUAUAGAAUUGCCUUUGAUACUGCCGGUCUUGAGUUAUGGUGAAGUUGCCGGAAUAUGUGGUGUAGCGGUGAAAUGCAUAGAUAUCACAUAGAACACCGAUUGCGAAGGCAGGUGACUAACCAUAUACUGACGCUGAUGGACGAAAGCGUGGGGAGCGAACAGGAUUAGAUACCCUGGUAGUCCACGCCGUAAACGAUGGAUACUAGCUGUCCGGGUCCUUGAGGCCUGGGCGGCCAAGCGAAAGUGAUA